rnacentral:lncRNA from 1 species
CAGGGGCCGGGAUUUUCCUUCCCAUAUUUAGAGAUUUCAAAACAUGAACUGGAAAGUUAGAGGACUGAAAGAGAGCUCCCUUUGCACCAAUGUUUGAAAAGCAGGCUGCUGAGCGAUCCUUUAUUCCCGUUGCUCACAGCUGAGGACAAAGAGGUUCCAAAUACACUUGCAUCUUAGAAGAGCAUCCAGGAAAUGGGACCCGACCUCACAAGCUCCCGAGGCUUAUAAAGAGAGAGCAGUGCAGGCCUUCAGCAGCCAACCCCUCCUCAGCCCCAUCCUAUCCUCUGGUGCAUACAAGGAGAGGACUGAGGAUGGGGGUGGGAGAGAAAGCAGUGCUGUCCACCAUGGGGAGUAUAGGGUCGGUGGAGAUAGGUGAUCCUUUCAUAUGGACUGGAGGUGCCGAGAAGAAAAAAGAUGCAUUCUCAGGCCCCAGCCGAGGGCACAUCGAGCUGCCCAAACGGGAUUUCAGAAGGAUGGUGCAGUUCAUGCCGGCAGUUGCGGGGUGGCGGUAGAGUGUGCCCAGAAAGAAGAUGGGGGCUACCUCUCACUCAUCUCUGCCUCCUGGGCAGGAAGAGAAGAAGCCCCCAGCCGUUCAGCCUGAAGCAACCCCAAACUGGGGUCAAGGUAAAAGCUGGGCCAGGUUCUCCGUUUCUGAGGAGGCAGAUGUGAACCGACCUCAGGAGCAACAGUGCCCACCAGCUCUGCAGAGACUCCAUGUCGGCAGGGAAUAUCAGCAGCAGUUAGGAGCGCAUCGAAUGAGGCUCCCUGCUUCAUCUAGAACUUUUGUGAGUAAUGCAUUUGAGACCAAGGAGCGGACAUUAGGACGGCAGCCCUUUCAUCACUAUUAAGCACCAUGAGGAAGACUCUGACGUGAUGAAAUGGCACAAGUCCUCCAACUACAAAAUUAACCUCCAACUAUAAAAUUAACGGGUGCUGCCCGUUUGCUCCUUGGAGCCAGUCUUCCCUUCCUCCCUUUGCUUUCUGCUUUAGGAGGUUGACCUGCACAGACUACAUUGACCAUGCCUUUGCCCCUGACUUCUGGUUUGAGGUCAUGAGGUCAUGAGGGUGGGACCACCAUGAUGGCAUUAGUGGCUUUACAAGGAGAGCAAAGAAGACCUGAGCUAGCAUGCUUGCUCUGUCUCACCAUGUGAUGUCAUCUGCCACGCUAUAAUGCAACGAGGAGACUCUCACAAGAUACCAGCAUCCUGUUCUGGACUUUCUAGUCCAGAAAUUAACCUCUGUUCUCUUAUAGCAACAGAAAAUAGGCUAAGCCUUAGGUAGUUCCACAGAAUCUGGAAUUUCCUGCCUCACCAAAGAUGUGCAAGCUUUCUAAAGCCAUAAGUCAAUUAUCCAAGGCUAAUUAUAGUAAGUGAACAGAUUCCGUGUCCUACGAGAAACAUUUCCUAUACAUUAAGUACAUGCUAUGAGGCAUGUGGUGGCCACAUGCUUCGAGGCCAACUGACACAUUCCUAGGAGAGUCUUUUUAAAUUUGUGAUGAAUAUCAAAAGGUUAUUAUUCCUUCUCAGCAAAUAUAAUGGGAGAACCUGUAUAGGUUUAAAUUUAAGAAGCAUAUUUUGUCAUUUCUAAGACAUACAUUUAUUGAUUAUUGUUGGGGUCCCCUCGGUGGGAGACUGGAACCUGAAGACAGUAUCAGACAAAACCUAUUAAAUGAAGGGCACGGGGGACCACAACUCUUGGAGUUAAGGUGAGGUUUAUUGGUAAUAUCCUUCUUUUAUACAUUUUUCUGUAGGAUACAUCAAUCAUUAACAGUUUACAAUGCUAGUCAACUAACCACCAGUUAUAUCUAUGAGUACAUAAAACAUCUACAGAGCCAUCUAUGCUCCUUUAAUCUUAGUGCAUCUUAUCUAAAUCAUCCUGGCUACUUAAAGCUUCUAAAAAGUUAGCUAUUCUUAUCUAGUCCUAUACCAAGCAAAUAUUUGAGAGUCUUAAGGGACCACAGUGGAAUGAACACUGUGAGACCGACAAACAGCCUUCUGAAGUUAUCUUUAAUUUCUCUAUCUGGGCCUGCCACAGACAUCAGGACAAUCUGUCUUCCCAAGGCUGUCCGAGGGCCUGAGAACUUCUCAUAUCCUCCAUAGGUUAUAAUCUUCUUAAAUUAGGAUAUGUUCUUUUUUUUUUUUUUUUUUUUUGGUACCGGGGAUUGAACUCGGGUCCUUGUGCUUACGCAGCAGGCGGCAAAACCACUGAGCUAAAUCCCCGGCCCCAAUUAGGGUAUGUCUUAAAUUCAUGUAUCUCUAUGGUAGCUAAGCACAGGUGUAAACUAUCCUUACUCCUCUGCAUACUAUGGUUAUUUUAUUUAUUUUUGGCUUUCUGAGAUAGUAUCUCACUAUGUAGUUCAGGCUGACCCUGAACUCACUAUGUAGCUCAGGUUGGCUUCAAACUCACAGCGAUCCUACUGCCUCACUCUCCCAAGUGUUGGGAUCACAGGCAUGUGCCACCAUGCCCGGCUAAGGACUGCUUUGCAAAGAAGUGCAAACAACUUUGACAAGAUAGAUGAAGUGUUAAAUCAUUCAAAUUUCCUAAACAGGGCGUGGUGUACACCUAUAGUCCUAGCACUAUGGGAUGCUGAGGUAGGAGGAUUGCCAUGAGUUCAAGGACAGCCUGAUUACAGAGCAAGACCUUGUUUUAAAAAACCAAACCGGGGGCGGGGAUUUAGCUCAGUGGUUUCGCCGCCUGCUGCGCAAGUGCAAUGACCCGAGUUCAAUCCCUGGUACAAAAAAAACCCCUCAAAAACCAAAAAAACCCAAACCAAACCCAAAUCAUGCAAACUUCCCAACUUGUUCUUUGUGUGUUAAACAAAAGCUUUAUACAAUCAUCUGUGUAGUUUACCUUUUUUUUUUUUUGGUACCAAGGACCGAACUCGGGUCCUUACGCUUGCAUAGCAGGCGGCAAAACCACUGAGCUAAAUCCCUGGCCCCUUCUUUUUUCUGAGACAAGGUCUCACUGUGUAGUUCAGGCUGGCCUUAAACUC